GGCCAGAAUAGGGUGGGGCCAAGGAUGCGGGGCUUUGGAUCCCGCAACGACGGGAGAGGUGACCCCGUGACGCCGGUUCGAAUCCGGCCCGGGCUAC
rnacentral:tRNA from 1 species